GAUGAACGCUAGCUACAGGCUUAACACAUGCAAGUCGAGGGGAAACGAUGAGAGAGCUUGCUCUCUUAGGCGUCGACCGGCGCACGGGUGAGUAACGCGUAUCCAACCUACCCAUUACAGGGGGAUAACCUUGCGAAAGUAAGACUAAUACCCCAUGGCAUUUUAUGGUGGCAUCAUUAUAGGAUUAAAGAUUUAUUGGUAAUGGAUGGGGAUGCGUCUGAUUAGCUUGUUGGCGGGGUAACGGCCCACCAAGGCAACGAUCAGUAGGGGUUCUGAGAGGAAGGUCCCCCACAUUGGAACUGAGACACGGUCCAAACUCCUACGGGAGGCAGCAGUGAGGAAUAUUGGUCAAUGGGCGAGAGCUUGAACCAGCCAAGUAGCGUGCAGGAUGACGGCACUAUGGGUUGUAAACUGCUUUUAUAGGGGAAUAAAGUGAGCUACGUGUAGUUUAUUGCAUGUACCCUAUGAAUAAGGACCGGCUAAUUCCGUG
rnacentral:rRNA from 1 species